AAGACUAACUACUGCGAAAGCAUUUGCCAAGGAUGUUUUCAUUAAUCAGUGAACGAAAGUUAGGGGAUCGAAGACGAUCAGAUACCGUCGUAGUCUUAACCAUAAACUAUGCCGACUAGGGAUCGGGCGAUGUUAUCUUUUUGACUCGCUCGGCACCUUACGAGAAAUCAAAGUUUUUGGGUUCUGGGGGGAGUAUGGUCGCAAGGCUGAAACUUAAAGAAAUUGACGGAAGGGCACCACUAGGAGUGGAGCCUGCGGCUUAAUUUGACUCAACACGGGGAAAC
rnacentral:rRNA from 1 species